CAGCAGCCGCGGUAAAACGGAGGGUGCGAGCGUUAAUCGGAAUUACUGGGCGUAAAGCGUACGCAGGCGGUUUGUUAAGUCAGAUGUGAAAUCCCCGAGCUUAACUCGGGAACUGCAUUUGAAACUGGCAGGCUAGAGUCUCGUAGAGGGGGGUAGAAUUCCAGGUGUAGCGGUGAAAUGCGUAGAGAUCUGGAGGAAUACCGGUGGCGAAGGCGGCCCCCUGGACGAAGACUGACGCUGAGGCGCGAAAGCGUGGGGAGCAAACAGGAUUAGAUACCCGAGUAGUCCCUGUCUCUUAUAC
rnacentral:rRNA from 1 species